ensembl:lncRNA
GGGGGACUUGCCUGCAGCUCACUGUGGUUGCAGACCCUGAAUUGCAAUUCUCUGCUGAUCUCAAAUAAAUCCAAUUUUGCUGGAGAAGUAACUGGCAGUCUGUUUUAGGUCAACAUUUUGGUGGCUUUUACAGGAUCUAAAGAAGACCUCUGAUGAGCUGGUAAGUAAAUGGGUGAUGUGCCUACCUGAGCCCAUUGCUGCUGAUUUUCUCAUUGGUCUUGGAAUUUGAAGGUACUUCUUUCUCCUAUAUCUGAGCCUCCGCCCUCUUUGCAUUUUGAAGCUCUUCAGGCUUUACCUGGGAUCUGUUUCAAGGUUUUGUCCUUUCUGCUUAAGGCCUUGUUCUGUACUCAUUUGGAACUUCAGUCUGAUUUUGAAGUCAGACUGUUCCAACUGGAACUGGCUAGGCUUCAGCCCAUUCCUUUGAGCACAGAGGCUAUUUCAUUGGGAUUGUGCCAGUUGAGCCUUCAGGCCAUUCCUUUGGAACAGAGGUUGUUCUAUUGGAACUCUGCUGAGAAGCCUUUGGCCUGGCUCCCCUAACACCAACCUAUUCUUUUAAAACUGGCUGGGUAUUAGGUCUUCAGGCUGUUAGAGACAUCUGAACUGUUCAGGCAAACUGUUUAAGCUAUAAGCUGCUUGAGCUGUUGAGGCUUUUAAAAAAUUAUUCUCUUACUCUAGAAAAAACUUCUGAGAAAUGGGAUUCCACUUAUCUAAAUAUUUUGAGGGCACCCUUCUAUAAGGAUACUGGCUGAUUUUGUGCUUAAAAAUUGUAACCCUUCCUCAUAAGAACUUCUAGCUCGACAGAUCAACCUAAGGCAAUCUAGAACAUCAUACGGCCAUUAUGCGGAACUUUAGGAAUCCCUAAACUUAGUUUUCUUAAACCCGAAUGGGACUAUCAGAGCCCUAAAAUUUCCAAAACUGAAUGGAAUGCCUAUUUGAUUGGUAUUUUGAGGCUUCCAAACAUUAUCAGCAGCCUAAAAUUGAUCUAAAAUAAGACUGAGGCAAACAAAUGAUUACAAAGCUAGAGUGGCUGACAAAGCCUCAGGUUGCAGCUCCAGGGCCAUCCUGAAUCCCCACCCUCAGCCCCUGAGCCCAGGCCCCAGCUCCAGGGCCAUCCUGUCUCCCCUCCUUCAGCCCCUGAGCCCAGGUCCCAGCUCCAGGGCCAUCCUGAAUCCCCUCCCUCAGUCCCUGAGCCCAGGUCCCAGCUCCAGGGCCAUCCUGAAUCCCCUCCCUCAGCCCCUGAGCCCAGGCCCCAGCUCCAG